GCCGAUGUAGCUCAGCCGGUAGAGCAACGCAUUCGUAAUGCGUCGGUCGGCGGUUCGAAUCCGCCCAUCGGCUCCA
rnacentral:tRNA from 1 species